GAUGAACGCUGGCGGCGUGUCUAAGGCAUGCAAGUCGAACGGACUGUUAUUUGUAGCAAUACUUAGAACAGUUAGUGGCAAACGGGUGCGUAACACAUUGGUAACCUGCCUCAAAGUCGGGCAUAAUCCCGCGAAAGUGGGACUAAUUCCACGAUAGUCAUCGAAGGUGAGAUUCCUUCGAUGUAAAGUCGCAAGACGCUUUGAGAGGGGCCUAUGGCCUAUCAGCUUGUUGGUGAGGUAACGGCUCACCAAGGCUAUGACGGGUAGGGGGUGUGAGAGCACGACCCCCCUCACUGGGACUGAGACACUGCCCAGACACCUACGGGUGGCUGCAGUCGAGAAUAUUCCCCAAUGGCCGAAAGGCUGAGGGAGCGACGCCGCGUGCAGGAAUAAGG
rnacentral:rRNA from 1 species